CGUGUAUGGCAGAGCUAUACAUCUAUAACUCUGUUGUAAGCAUAAAAGGCUAGAUAUUUUAAUUUAAACCUGAAGUCCUUAAUGAAUAGGAUAUUUGUCGUUUGUAGUUUGAAUAUGUUUUUUGAUUUUUUAAAUGAAAACAAAAUCACAAAAGCCCUUUGCUUGCUAACGGAGAUCAACAACUGAGAAGUUAGAAAGAAUUCGGGUAAUUUUCUGAACUUCGUAAAAGGGCAACGUCGCUUCCCAUUCCUCACGGAAGUUCGUCUGCACUGUGCAAGUCUGCAGACUGCAUUGCAGAUUGGUGAGUUGGUGACGAUGACAUCAUCUGCAUAUUUUUUCAAAGUUUCAAUCAUGGAAUUGUUCGAUUGUAGUGACUAGUACGCAAUAAUGAGUCCGUUCACUCUAAAGUUUGUUUAUAUUUCUCGAUUGUCUAACUUAUGUUACCCACGGGUGUCCCGUUGCACCGUGGACCUUGGAAUGUGGAUUGUGGUCGGUGAGAAAUUGACGGUGGUAAAGAAACUAUUGCCUGGGGGACCGUAAGGAGUGAUAUUAAUCGAGCAGCCCCAUCAAUUCCAAUAGUUGCUUGAAAAUUUGGGCAAGAACGAAUUUGAAAAGCCCUUUGUGCUUUGUCUGCUGCAAUACAACUUGAGGCAGGUCAAAACAAAUCCUGUCUGGAUCUUGACGUAGAAAUUGAUAGACAUACUUUUCAUACUGUUGUCAAAGUUGAGAAAGAAGAAGACAGACAUAAUCUACUCUCUGCAACACUGGCAUUAUAUUGGCCCACUUUCACGUUGAUUUACCAUAUUGGUCUGGUGGAGUAACCAUCAGUGGGAAAGCAGUGGUCCCAAAAUAUUAAUCCCAGUCUCCUUUACUAGCCAACGUCAUUUUCAAGUUGGGGAUGGAAUACCAGCACAAAACGUACGUUAAUCAGCAAACGCGUAAUGUAAUAACGCUCAAUAUUAGUAGGUCAACCAACUUCUGAAGCUUAGCCAUUUUAUGAUCGUGCCCAGCCCCAAAAAAUCCCCCAGUCGACGUCAACUCCAACGCAACCUGCUGCAGCCAGCACUGGAAACUCGCGAAUACGAGGAACUACACAACUUUCUUCGGCAGUUGCAUACCCACAAGAGCUCCUGGCCGUUCCUCAAGUCUGUGGCUGUAACGGAAGUCCACAACUUUUAUAAGAUCAUCAAGAUUACAAAGAGUUAUUACUGAUGACUUGGUUCCAGACCUACAGCAUUCUGUUCUUUAAGUUGGCGUGGGGAACGAGUCAGCCGAGUCUCGGUGGGGAAGUACCAGUGGUGAAGCCAGAAAUGGUAACAGACCUAUUCCAAUCCCCAGCAACGUCAACCUGCAGAAGAAAGGGUUCACAUUUGAAGGUUACGGAGAUUAUUUCGUAAAACGUGUCAUGCAGUGGUGUAGAGGUUGGGUGAUAACGGGGCGUGUUUCAUCAUUAUCAAGCAGGUACAAUAGCCGCAAGGCUUAAGAGGUUAGGAUGCGAAAAAAAUCGUUUAAAAGGAGAGAGAAAAGACCAUGGAAAUCAGUCGAAUGAGCAUCUCCGACACGGCAACGACCGCAGCCCACUAUUUGUCGCCAACUUCCUUUUUCAUUGUAUUGAACCAGUUCAAGCAGAGUUAACUAUGGCUUUAUGCUGCUUUUUGGUUUUGCAUCGUUGAUGGCUGUGUCCAACAUUGGUGUACCGAUGUCUCGUGGGUAUGGCAGAUAGCAAACCGCAACGCCGCUGCCUUACUACACAACAACAACAUUACACACAGCACCAGUUAUUAGUGAUUAUUAAUGUUGAAACUAAUUGUUUAGUUAACCAUAGCGUCGUGCUGCUGUUGGGUGUUGUAUGGUUGAUGGCUGGGAAGACCACUGGUGUACCGAUGUCUCCUUGUUAUACGUUAUUACCAGUUACUACACCGAGGCCCUCAAGUACUACACCAUCAAGGCACCGUAGUAUUAUGCCAUAACUAACGCGGCCCCGAAGUAUUACUCUGCCCCGAGUUACACCACCAAGGUACCGGAGUACUACACGAAUAAUGCUGCCCCAACCUACUACACCGAGGUUCCCAACUACUACAACGAGGCUCCAGCUGAUUACUAAACCAAAACGGUUGCAAACUACACCAAAGCGCCCAAGAACUACUCUGCCCCGAUCUACACAACCACAACUUAGGCGGUCAAGUAUUACGCAGCCCUAACUUACUACACCUUAGAAGCUGCCUUUUCGUACUACGAUGAACAGAAAUAUUACACUGAUGCUCCAGAUUGCUACACCGCAACCUAUGCUAUACCUAGCUACAACACCGAAGCUCCCAAGUACUACACCGAAGAAGCCGCAUAUUACACAAGUCAACCACGCCCGCCGCCCCAGUUUACUUCACCGAGAAACUCAAGUAUUACUCUGCUCCAAGCUACUACCAAACUAAGGCUCACAAGUACUACACCAGCAAGGCUCCUGAGUAUUACACCACUACUUACGCUGCUACGACCUAUACACCGAUGUUCCAUAGUAAUCCUAUGCCCUGAGUUCCUAAACUGCUAGAGCACCAACAUAUUACACCACAACCUUUCUUCUUCGGUAAUUUUUUGUUUUCAUCCAGCUUUUCUAUUGAUGCUAAAGAUACAUUAAUGAUUUCACUUCAUUUUGGUUAUAGUUUACGAUUCCGAUAGUUGCUGUUAUGAGGUUUGAUAUUGCAUCAUAUGUUGGUGAAAGAUUUACGAGCAUCAAAUUUAAUUCUGCCUGUUACUGGGUGUUAUUCUCGUCCUUAUAUUCUACUUAUUGAGUUUUAAAAGUUGCAUUCUGCAUUUUGUUCAAUUGGCAUUUUGUCUAUACCGGUCCGAUGCUAAAAUUUAAGAAGGAAGGAGGAGAAAGUUGGGGAGGGGAAGAAAAAAUAAUUUUCACAUUUCAAUUAAGCCGAUUAACAAAUAACAUUAAUUAAAAAUUCAUUUACACAGUAUAUAUUAUUCAAUGUCUAUUUUUACUCUAUAAAAAAGAAAUUCAUUAAUGACAUUUGUGAAAUAAUAAAUAUGACAAAUAAAAUUAUUCUGUCAUUAUA